GCAGAGCUUGCUCUGUGGAUCAGUGGCGAACGGGUGAGUAACACGUGAGCAACCUGCCCCGGACUCUGGGAUAACAGUUGGAAACAGCUGCUAAUACCGGAUACGAGCUGCGAAGGCAUCUUCAGCAGUUGGAAAGAUUUUUCGGUCUGGGAUGGGCUCGCGGCCUAUCAGCUUGUUGGUGAGGUAAUGGCUCACCAAGGCGUCGACGGGUAGCCGGCCUGAGAGGGUGACCGGCCACACUGGGACUGAGACACGGCCCAGACUCCUACGGGAGGCAGCAGUGGGGAAUAUUGCACAAUGGGCGAAAGCCUGAUGCAGCAACGCCGCGUGAGGGAUGACGGCCUUCGGGUUGUAAACCUCUUUUAGCAGGGAAGAAGCGAGAGUGACGGUACCUGCAGAAAAAGCGCCGGCUAACUACGUGCCAGCAGCCGCGGUAAUACGUAGGGCGCAAGCGUUAUCCGGAAUUAUUGGGCGUAAAGAGCUCGUAGGCGGUCUGUCGCGUCUGCUGUGAAAACCCGAGGCUCAACCUCGGGCCUGCAGUGGGUACGGGCAGACUAGAGUGCGGUAGGGGAGAUUGGAACUCCUGGUGUAGCGGUGGAAUGCGCAGAUAUCAGGAAGAACACCGAUGGCGAAGGCAGAUCUCUGGGCCGUAACUGACGCUGAGGAGCGAAAGGGUGGGGAGCAAACAGGCUUAGAUACCCUGGUAGUCCACCCCGUAAACGUUGGGAACUAGUUGUGGGGUCCAUUCCACGGAUUCCGUGACGCA
rnacentral:rRNA from 1 species